rnacentral:rRNA from 1 species
AUUGAACGCUGGCGGCAGGCUUAACACAUGCAAGUCGAGCGGGGUGAUGGUGCUUGCACUAUCACUUAGCGGCGGACGGGUGAGUAAUGCUUAGGAAUCUGCCUAUUAGUGGGGGACAACAUCUCGAAAGGGAUGCUAAUACCGCAUACGUCCUCCGGGAGAAAGCAGGGGAUCACUUGUGACCUUGCGCUAAUAGAUGAGCGUAAGUCGGAUUAGCUAGUCGGUGGGGUAAAGGCCUACCAAGGCGACGAUCUGUAGCGGGUCUGAGAGGAUGAUCCGCCACACUGGGACUGAGACACGGCCCAGACUCCUACGGGAGGCAGCAGUGGGGAAUAUUGGACAAUGGGGGGAACCCUGAUCCAGCCAUGCCGCGUGUGUGAAGAAGGCCUUAUGGUUGUAAAGCACUUUAAGCGAGGAGGAGGCUCUUUUGGUUAAUACCCAAGAUGAGUGGACGUUACUCGCAGAAUAAGCACCGGCUAACUCUGUGCCAGCAGCCGCCGCCG